rnacentral:rRNA from 1 species
AUUGAACGCUGGCGGCAGGCCUAACACAUGCAAGUCGAACGAGUGGCGGACGGGUGAGUAAUGUCUGGGGAACUGCCCGAUGGAGGGGGAUAACUACUGGAAACGGUAGCUAAUACCGCAUACCAUCGGAUGUGCCCAGAUGGGAUUAGCUAGUAGGUGGGGUAAAGGCUCACCUAGGCGACGAUCCCUAGCUGGUCUGAGAGGAUGACCAGCCACACUGGGACUGAGACACGGUCCAGACUCCUACGGGAGGCAGCAGUGGGGAAUAUUGCACAAUGGGCGCAAGCCUGAUGCAGCCAUGCCGCGUGUAUGAAGAAGGCCUUCGGGUUGUAAAGUACUUUCAGCAGGGAGGCGUUACCCAAAGAAGAAGCACCGGCUAACUCCGUGCCAGCCGCCGCGGUAAUUC